rnacentral:RNase_P_RNA from 3 species
UGAGUAAAUCAGGUGAUCGCGGGUGCCGGUCAGGACGGCGCCUGAGGAAAGUCCGAGCUCCGCAGGGCAGGGUGCUGGGUAAUACCCAGUGGGGGCGACCCCAAGGAAAGUGCCACAGAAAUGCAGACCGCCCGGAACAGAAGCCGGAUGCCAAAUGCCGGAGGAUCUUUGGGCUGAAGGCAACUCCUUCCCCAAUUAGAUCUGCCGGCUGUCAGGCUCCCUGCUUUUGUUACGGGCAAGGGUGGAACGGUGCGGUAAGAGCGCACCAGCGGCCGGGCGACCGGCCGGCUAGGUAAACCCCACCUGGAGCAAGACCGAAUAGGGGAGCGUGUGCGGCGGCCCGUCGUUGCUCCCGGGUCAGGUCGCUAGAGGCGGCUGGCAACAGCCGUCCCAGAUAGAUGAUCACCCACGACAGAACUCGGCUUACGAUUUGCUCACUAU